UACGUAGGGUGCGAGCGUUAAUCGGAAUUACUGGGCGUAAAGCGUGCGCAGGCGGUUUGUUAAGUCUGAUGUGAAAGCCCCGGGCUCAACCUGGGAAUGGCAUUGGAAACUGGCAAGCUUGAGUAUGGCAGAGGGGGGUGGAAUUCCGCGUGUAGCAGUGGAAUGCGUAGAGAUGGGGAGGAACACCGAUGGCGAAGGCAGCCCCCUGGGCCGAUACUGACGCUCAGGCGCGAAAGCGUGGGGGGCAAACGGG
rnacentral:rRNA from 1 species